UAGUCACGGUGCACAAUCACGUGGUCUAUGACGUCAUGCUAUAGGUAUCGCGCCAAGCAUUUUUUGUCAACAAAGCGUCGAUUCAAGAAGAAAAUUCGUCAUUCAAACGCAGAAUGGCUGAUGAAGCUAGGACAAACGUGUGCAGCCAGCGUGGCAAGGCUUUCCGCCAGAGGCGAAAUUUGCAUACGCUCGAGAAAAGUCACACAGAAACGUUUCCCUAGGGGUUUCAGCUCUCGAUAGGCAUUGAUGAAGAGAGCAUAAGUUCACACUUAAACGUUCACGACAGGAGAGGGAACAAUCCUCGGACUUUCAGUUCUGACAUUUGCGGCUAUCUGGUGGUGACCCGUUACGAACUCACCGAGCACAUGCGCAGUCAUGAAGACAACCGGAGUCUGCCUGCAUACAAUGUGGUGCAUUGAAUAAGCACAGGCCAUUCCUGAAUUGGGAUAUAAGGCAACGUCGCAGGAAUGUUUGUGUAAUUUAAACUAGUGAAUACUUUGAAAAAUUGAUGAAGACAUGUUGAUCUCGAAUUUUUAGUGGUGCAUUCUGGUCAUUGUGUCAAAUAGCAUUUUUGGCAUGAUGCAACCCUCGUGUCUCUCUAUUUUUUUGUUCUUAAGCGGCUUUCAAAUUCAAAUAUCUGUUACUAUCAAAGCCAUU